rnacentral:snoRNA from 1 species
ACCGCAAGUAGCACCGUUGCUGAGCUUGCUCCAUAGCCCAAACGGCGGACUUGCUUGCGGGAGA